GUUAAGGUGGCAAGCGUUGUCCGGAUUUAUUGGGCGUAAAGCGAGCGCAGGCGGAAAAAUAAGUCUAAUGUGAAAGCCCUCGGCUUAACCGAGGAACUGCAUCGGAAACUGUUUUUCUUGAGUGCAGAAGAGGAGAGUGGAACUCCAUGUGUAGCGGUGGAAUGCGUAGAUAUAUGGAAGAACACCAGUGGCGAAGGCGGCUCUCUGGUCUGCAACUGACGCUGAGGCUCGAAAGCAUGGGUAGCGAACAGGAUUAGAUACCCUGGUAGUCCAUGCCGUAAACGAUGAGUGCUAAGUGUUGGGAGGUUUCCGCCUCUCAGUGCUGCAGCUAACGCAUUAAGCACUCCGCCUGGGGAGUACGACCGCAAGGUUGAAACUCAAAGGAAUUGACGGGGGCCCGCACAAGCGGUGGAGCAUGUGGUUUAAUUCGAAGCAACGCGAAGAACCUUACCAGGUCUUGACAUCUAGUGCAAUCUGUAGAGAUACGGAGUUCCCUUCGGGGACGCUAAGACAGGUGGUGCAUGGUUGUCGUCAGCUCGUGUCGUGAGAUGUUGGGUUAAGUCCCGCAACGAGCGCAACCCUUAUCCUUAGUAGCCAGCAGGUAGAGCCGGGCACUCUAGGGAGACUGCCAGGGAUAACCUGGAGGAAGGUGGGGAUGACGUCAAAUCAUCAUGCCCCUUAUGAUUUGGGCUACACACGUGCUACAAUGGCGUAAACAAAGGGAAGCGAGACAGUGAUGUGGAGCAAAUCCCAAAAAUAACGUCCCAGUUCGGACUGUAGUCUGCAACCCGACUACACGAAGCUGGAAUCGCUAGUAAUCGCGAAUCAGAAUGUCGCGGUGAAUACGUUCCCGGGUCUUGCACUCACCGCCCGU
rnacentral:rRNA from 1 species